rnacentral:sRNA from 12 species
UUCCCGACGCUUGGAAUCAAGAUGCUUUGGGCUCGGGGAAGUAAUAGCUGCCGAUCAAGGGGAUCUCUUCACGGCAGCCGGUAUAGCCGGUUAGUGCGACCCGCAAGGGCGAGAAGGCAAUGGCAGGGCAGCGUAAAAAACCCAACCACGGGCGCUGUCACUGUCCUAAAACCCACCAACCGCCAGACGCCGAAGAGGGCAGGGGGCGCAGCGGUAAACAAUCCCCGAAAGUCUGGAACGCCU